rnacentral:rRNA from 1 species
CAUAGUAUUGAUUUGUGGCAUCACGAAUGAAUUAAAGUUUCGGCGGUAAGAGAUGAUCAUGCGUCUUAUUAGCUAGUUGGUAUGGUAACGGCAUACCAAGGCAACGAUAAGUAGGGGUCCUGAGAGGGAGAUCCCCCACACUGGUACUGAGACACGGACCAGACUCCUACGGGAGGCAGCAGUGAGGAAUAUUGGACAAUGGUCGAGAGACUGAUCCAGCCAUGCCGCGUGCAGGAAGACGGCCCUAUGGGUUGUAAACUGCUUUUGUACAGGAAGAAUAAGUUAUACGUGUAUAACGAUGACGGUACUGUACGAAUAAGCAUCGGCUAACUCCGUGCCAGCAGCCGCGGUAAUACGGAGGAUGCAAGCGUUAUCCGGAAUCAUUGGGUUUAAAGGGUCCGUAGGCGGGCGAAUAAGUCAGUGGUGAAAGUCUGCAGCUCAACUGUAGAAUUGCCAUUGAUACUGUUAGUCUUGAAUCAUUAUGAAGUAGUUAGAAUGUGUAGUGUAGCGGUGAAAUGCAUAGAUAUUACACCGAAUACCGAUUGCGAAGGCAGAUUACUAGUAAUGCAUUGACGCUGAUGGACGAAAGCGUGGGUAGCGAACAGGAUUAGAUACCCUGGUAGUCCACGCCGUAAACGAUGGAUACUAGCUGUUCGUUUCACACUGGUGAGAUGAGUGGCUAAGCGAAAGUGAUAAGUAUCCCACCUGGGGAGUACGUUCG